rnacentral:rRNA from 1 species
GAUGAACGCUGGCGGCGUGCCUAAUACAUGCAAGUCGAGCGAACGGGCGAGAAGCUUGCUUCUCUGAUGUUAGCGGCGGACGGGUGAGUAACACGUGGAUAACCUACCUAUAAGACUGGGAUAACUUCGGGAAACCGGAGCUAAUACCGGAUGAUAUUUUGAACCGCAUGGUUCAAAAGUGAAAGACGGUCUUGCUGUCACUUAUAGAUGGAUCCGCGCUGCAUUAGCUAGUUGGUAAGGUAACGGCUUACCAAGGCAACGAUGCAUAGCCGACCUGAGAGGGUGAUCGGCCACACUGGAACUUGGCCACGGUCCUUACUCCUACGGGAGGCAGCAGUAGGGAAUCGGCCGCAAUGGGCGAAAGCCUUACGGAGCAGCGCCGCGUGAGUGAUGAAGGUCUUCGGAUCGUAAUACUCUGUUAUUAGUGAAGAACAUAUGUGUAAGUAACUGUGCACAGCUUGACGGUACCUAAUCAGAAAGCCACGGCUAACUACGUG